rnacentral:lncRNA from 1 species
AGUCUUGUGUAAGUGGAAGAAACUGAGGCUUCCAUUGGGUUCCCAGUCGUAUGUGUAGGCAGAGAGCUGAGUGGACAGCAGGAGCUCACAAAAGUGCCUCAAUUCAGUGGUGCUACCAGAGACCAUGCCAAAUCAAUGAUUUUCUUUGGAUACAGCCCUUGAAAUUUCUCUUAGAGGACAAAUGCAACAUAAGUAAUGGGAGAGGGAAAAAUGCAAC